rnacentral:lncRNA from 1 species
CCCUCUGGUUUGAAUUUUGGAAGAAACUGAGCUUAGAGUUGGUGUUUGGAAGCCCAUUUAAGUAAGAUGUGUUGUAUUUGGUGGGGUACUGGCUGGAGGGGUAUUAUUGAUAGGCAAAUCAGUAGUACCCAUCACACGUGGAGUUGGCAUCUACAAAAUUUAAAAGCUCUCAAAUUAAUUAAGCAAUUAAAUGAUAACAUGGAAAGUAGACCAAUAUUAUAGGUAUGCUUUUACUUACAAACAUAAAUGCUUGUGGGGGUCUAUCUUUCCCUUUUUCAUUAGAGCAUCCCACCUUUUCUUUACCUUUACUUGUGUACUGUAACAACACAUAUCUCAUAGUUAGUCUUUAUCAGUCUCAAUAUAUAUAAUGAACAUGCUAAAUGCUACAAACUUAAAUUAGCAUAUGCUUCCUUUGCUUUGUUGAAUUGGUCUCCUUCUCUAAUUACUAUCCCAGGUAGUACAGUAGGAUGUGUAGUGGGCUCUUCAACAGUAUCUCCCAUGGACCCUGCAUUGGUCUCUUUAACUGGGCAUUGGUUCCUUCUAUGAUCAGACUUUCUACAAAUGCUAUAAUGCAUUUUCCUUCCUACCCUACUCACCCUCUUCAAGGGGCCAUGAUUUCCUUUGUCUUCCCAACCUUCUCUCCUUCUCAGCCUCUGUGGUCUGCCUCUCAGUUUCUUUGUUAUUAGUGGAGGCCCCAUAAUGUCACAGUCUGUGAAUUCCCAGAAAUCUUCACCAUUUAACACCUCAAGAGUAUGACUAUAAGUCUUGAGGUAAGUAUCUCUACUAUACCAGUGAGCUACAUAGUCUAUUGGAUUUUGAUAAAUUGACUAAUUUGCUGAUACAGCAUGACAACAUGGGAUGCCAGUAAGGUCCCACACUCUACAUGCACAAGUUCUAUCAUUAAGAUUCACAGUAAAUGCUCUACCUCUUUCCUUGACUUGGAAUGAGAUUUUGCCAUCCCAAAGUGGAUCACAAUGGGCAGAGGCAAUGAUGACAGCAUCAAGUUUCUUCAUAAUUCUUGGACAAAUAAAUCCUCUGACUUAAGCAUAGCAUCCCUUUUCUGAUGCAAUCUCACCAUGAUUUGAUCAUGAAUUUCCUGAAGCAUUGUUAGAACUGGC